UGCAGUCGAACGGCNGCGCGGGCAACCUGGCGGCGNAGUGGCGAACGGGUGAGUAAUAUAUCGGAACGUACCCAAGAGUGGGGGAUAACGUAGCGAAAGUUACGCUAAUACCGCAUACGAUCCAUGGAUGAAAGCGGGGGAUCUUCGGACCUCGUGCUCCUGGAGCGGCCGAUAUCUGAUUAGCUAGUUGGUGAGGUAAAGGCUCACCAAGGCGACGAUCAGUAGCUGGUCUGAGAGGACGACCAGCCACACUGGGACUGAGACACGGCCCAGACUCCUACGGGAGGCAGCAGUGGGGAAUUUUGGACAAUGGGCGCAAGCCUGAUCCAGCAAUGCCGCGUGAGUGAAGAAGGCCUUCGGGUUGUAAAGCUCUUUUGUCAGGGAAGAAACG
rnacentral:rRNA from 1 species